GACGGAAGGUGCAAGCGUUGCUCGGAAUCAUUGGGCGUAAAGCGCGUGUAGGCGGCUUUGCAAGUCGGGUGUGAAAGCCCUCAGCUUAACUGAGGAAGUGCGCCCGAAACUGCAUGGCUUGAGUACCGGAGAGGAUGGUGGAAUUCCCCAAGUAGAGGUGAAAUUCGUAGAUAUGGGGAGGAACACCGGUGGCGAAGGCGACCAUCUGGACGGAUACUGACGCUGAGACGCGAAAGCGUGGGUAGCAAACAGG
rnacentral:rRNA from 1 species